CUGUAGCGCAAAUUUGCAUGUGGAUCUGAGUAAAUGCGCUUUACAUCAAGUGUUAUACGGUUAUACGUUAUACGGUAUAAUUUUAUCAUAUUCACAUGCAAAUUUGCGCUAUAGAA